UACAGAGGGUGCAAGCGUUGUUCGGAAUUAUUGGGCGUAAAGCGCGUGUAGGCGGCUUUGCAAGUCGGGUGUGAAAGCCCUCGGCUCAACCGAGGAAGUGCGCCCGAAACUGCAGAGCUUGAGUACCGGAGAGGAUGGCGGAAUUCCCCAAGUAGAGGUGAAAUGCGCAGAUAUCAGGAAGAACACCCGUGGCGAAGGCGGCUCUCUGGGACGGUACUGACGCUGAGACGCGAAAGCGUGGGGAGCAAACAGG
rnacentral:rRNA from 1 species